AGCCCAGCACCGAAGCCUGUGGUCAUUUGGCCACCAGGCAAUGUGGUGUUUAGGUCUUUUCGCAGAGGCACUGCUCUACCCUAAGUCCAAUAAUGAGUACGGUGGUACAGACAUGGCCCAAUGAGGGUGAAAGGCCCGUGGGGGUAGAGGUCAGAUUGGACAGUGUCAACUCUGGGAGGACCUUGGAGUCGGAUUGUUUGUGAAUGCAGUCCAAAGUGGGUGGUAAACUCCAUCUAAGGCUAAAUACGAACGCGAGUCCGAUAGCGAACAAGUACCGUGAGGGAAAGUUGAAAAGUACUCUGAAGAGAGAGUAAACAGUGCGUGAAGCCGCUCAGAGGUAAACGGGUGGAGUUGAACUGUGGUUCCCGAGGGUUCAGCUGGUGAUUGUGAUUGGGCUUGGCCAAAAAUGUUGAGCUCUGGGGUCUGUUUAGCUACAGGUCUUUGCCUUCGGGUGAGGAUGCGCGGCACGCUCGUUGAGCGUUGUGCGCCCCAGGUGUUCCGGGCUGAGUUGCCAGUGCAUUCCCUCGGGACGGUCACCACGACCGGCACUGCUGUCUGUCUAUUGUGGUUAAACCGGUUGUGUAUUGUCCUUCGGGCUUUGCAUAGUCGGGACGGCAGGUAGCUCGUUAGUUUGCUUGCAGGCUUACGGGUGUAAUCAGCUGACUAUGAUUUGACUGUGCGGUGUGUCGGGGACGGCGGCUUGAGGUGCGUGCGUGCGUGCCUGUUCUGCUGGCGUGUCCAUGUCAGGUUGCUCAGUUGCUCACGUAGUGGGCCAAGCGGCGACUGGGACGCGUUCGGUGGGCGGUUGCGUGCGUUGCACUAUUCUUGGGCCAAUAGUCUGUGGUGUUGCGGUAGACUAUCCACCCGACCCGUCUUGAAACACGGACCAAGGAGAGUAACAUGUGCGCGAGUCAUUGGGCGUAACGAAACCCACAGGCGCAGUGAAAGUAAAGGCUUGGCUUGUCCAGGCUAAGGUGAGAUCCUGUCGUUUCCUACGCGUGGUACUACCAAGCAUCGAGCGGCAGGCGCAUCACCGGCCCGUCCCAUGGCAUUGGCCGUUUGAUACACAGUACAGUCGGGGCGGAGCAAGAGCGUACAUGUUGAGACCCGAAAGAUGGUGAACUAUGCUUGUGCAGAUUGAAGCCAGAGGAAACUCUGGUGGAGGAUCGCAGCGGUUCUGACGU
rnacentral:rRNA from 1 species